AAUCAACGCUGGCGGCGUGCCUAACACAUGCAAGCCGCACGAGAAAGGGGAGCAAUCCCUGAGUAAAGUGGCGCACGGGUGAGUAACACGUGAAUCAUCUACCUCCGAGUGGGGAAUAACUGAGAGAAAUCUUAGCUAAUACCGCAUAACACUUACGAGUCAAAGCAGCAAUGCGCUUGGAGAGGAGUUCGCGGCCGAUUAGUUAGUUGGCGGGGUAAUGGCCCACCAAGACGAUGAUCGGUAUCCGGCCUGAGAGGGCGCACGGACACACUGGAACUGAAACACGGUCCAGACUCCUACGGGAGGCAGCAGUGGGGAAUUUUGCGCAAGUGGGGAAACCCGUGACGCAGCAACGCCGCGUGGAGGAUGAAGUAUCUUGGU
rnacentral:rRNA from 1 species